rnacentral:rRNA from 1 species
GUGCCAGCAGCCGCGGUAAUACGGGGGGAGCAAGCGUUGUUCGGAUUCAUUGGGCGUAAAGGGUGCGUAGGCGGGCAGGUAAGUCAGUGGUGAAAUCCUAGAGCUUAACUCUAGAACUGCCAUUGAUACUAUCUGUCUUGAAUAUUGUGGAGGUAAGCGGAAUAUGUCAUGUAGCGGUGAAAUGCUUAGAUAUGACAUAGAACACCUAUUGCGAAGGCAGCUUACUACGCAUAUAUUGACGCUGAGGCACGAAAGCGUGGGGAUCAAACAGGAUUAGAAACCCCUGUAGUCC